rnacentral:rRNA from 1 species
UGCGUAGGCGGCUUGGCAAGUUGGGUGUGAAAUCCCUCGGCUCAACCGAGGAAUUGCGCCCAAUACUGCCAGGCUUGAGGGAGAUAGAGGUGAGCGGAACUAAUGGUGGAGCGGUGAAAUGCGUUGAUAUCAUUAGGAACACCUGAGGCGAAAGCAGCUCACUGGGUCUCUUCUGACGCUGAGGCACGAAAGCUAGGGGAGCGAACG